rnacentral:lncRNA from 1 species
UGCCGUUGUCUCCAAAAGUGACUACUGUUCAAAGAUGAAGAACUGCUCCUUAUCAUCCAUCAUAUAUCUUGAACAACCGCUAUCCAAAUACCAUUUUCUUUUGGAUCCAUUGAUUGUAAAACAAUUCCUACAAGAAAAUCAAGUAACUUUCGUAGGUACCCAAAUUUUCUUAGGUCAUUUAGAGUUAGCAAUCAUGGUUCCUUUUGGAAUUCAAAUUUUUUUAAUUAUUUUUCUAUUAAACUUUCUUGUAUUGCAAACAUAAACCUCAUAUCCUACUCUACCACAGCUAAAGGAAAUGAUGUGUGAGUUGCUGCCAAUAGAUGAUGAUGCAAUGAAAAAUUUUUUAAAAAAAUUUAUUUAUUAUUUGAUUUAUAACCUAGACCAGCUCUAACGUAGACUCCUUUUUGAUUGUUUAAUAUCAUUUGUAAUUUUUCAGAGAUAUAUAUGAAUUUUUCAACCAAUGAUUGUAGUCUAUCAAUUUCUUUCUUUAAGGUCUUAUUUUCUCUUUCCAAUUUAUUGUAGUUUUCAAAGAUUUCUUCCUUCACUUUGAUUAGCAUCUUAUUCUUAAUUUUUAGAUUUUUAUUUUUUAUGCUAAUCUUUUUAAAGUCUUUCAUCAAAUCAUAGAAGACAUCAUGUAGCUCAUCGAAUGUAAAUUCUAGAAAAGAUUCUGAAUUUACCUCAUCCUCUUAUACCAUAAAGCACAAAUUGGCUUCAUUUUAGAUCUCUUCAUCUGAACUCGACUCGUUGCUGUCGCUCCAUAUUACAACCAUUGCCUUCUUCUUGAUCCUUUUGAAGUUUUCUUCAAUAUUGGACAAUCGGCCUUCAAGUGAUCAGAUUUUUUGUACUCAUAGUACAAGGAUAGUUCCUUUUCUUUUUUCCUGCUUGGCUCAUCCUUAGACAGAUUUUUCUUUCUAAAACCUUAUCUUCUCCUUCCUAUGAACUUCUUGAAUUUUUUGAUCACCAAGGCCAUAUCCUUAUCAUCUUCAACUUCGAUGGAUGCCCUUCAUCUUCUUCAACUGCAAUGGAUUUCAAAGCCAUUGUUUUCUUCUUUUGACUCUCCUCUUCCAUAUGCUACCCCAUCGCUAACUCGUGUGUCAUCAACGAUCCAAUAAGCUUCUUAAAUGACAACUUAUUCAAGUCUUUCGCCUCUUGGAUAACUGUGACUUUUAUCUCUCACAUUCUAGAUAAAGAUCUAAAAAUUUUUCUUACUAAUUCACUGUUAGUAUAGACUUUUUUUAAGCUUUUA